AGUUCACAGAUGGAGAGUCAGCUGAUUGCACGAUCCGACGGCGCCUCCGAGAGAACUUAACUUGCAGCUCAAAAACGCAGGUUUUGUGAAAAUGACCAAGCUUUUGUCGCGUCUGUACCUCGUCGCGCAGCUGUUUUGUAUGGAAGCCUUCAUUUGCAGCUGCGGCGAAACGAACGAAAACGGUCAGGGCGGCGCUAUGGAGAGAUUCGAAUCACUACAGAAAUACUGUCCCUACGGAGACGUCUUGGUUCCUCAGGGUCAAGUGGUUCUGAGUCUUCCGGUGUGCUGUAUGCAGCUGGUGUGUUUAUUUGGUAGAAUUGUGGAGAAGUAUCACUAUCAACCGGGUGAUGCAAACUGCUGUGAGUUUGCCGGUAUCCUUUAUUCAGACGGAGCAACAUUGCCGGGCUACUGCACCCAACUACGCUGCAGAAACGGCCAGUGGACAACGAACUGGAUUCUUGAGAAAUGCUGUAGUCGAUGUGGUCUUUACAACGACCCGCACAUCAUAACCUUUGACAUCUACCGGUACGACUGGCACGGCACCUGCAACUAUUCAAUUGCCCAGAGCGAUCUGUCCUACGACCCCCGGACAGGUGUGUUCAGCGAUUUCCAGCCUUGUAACCGCCGCGCCUCUUGCUUGGACACGACCACGUUUCGAGACAAUCCGAACACCAUCAUCACCUUGUCCAGCAGAUCCAAUAACACGAUAAUAGUAAAUGGCGAAGAUUUCGUCAUACCCAAAACCGGGAUCGUGCCAGUCAUAUCAUCCGGCCCGACGACCCACCCAGUCCUAGUGUGGCAGAGCGACGGUUGUGUCAUCCUCUUCGGCGCUUCCAAGAUCAUGCUUAAGCACUGUCGCUCCUCCAUGCACGUCUGGGCCUACCCUAGCCAUACGGACAGUCUAGACGGUCUGUGCGGACACUUCAACUUCCAUCCCGGAGACGAAUUCAGAGACAGGACCGGGCAUCAGCACCCUCUCUCAUACCGUCCGUAUGCCUUCCCGUAUUCCUGGAUGACUUACGAUCAAAAAAACAAACAAUGCCUCAGAUUAAGACAAACACCUUGCAUGGACUGCCAAGAAGCAACAAGCGACCCGUGUCAUGCAGACCAGGAUGCGCGUGACGAGUACGCUGUCAUGUGCGAAAGGUUUCUCUCGGACGCGGCAGUUGGCCAGACGGAGGUCCUCGCCCAUCACAUCGAAACGUGCAUCUUUGACGUGUGUUUGAUGAGCCAAGAAGGAGCUAACUUAACGACGGUCGAAGAGUGGCUCGAGGAACUGCGCCGCAUUUUGAAGAUGAUUGUCGACGUAGAAAACGGAUCGUUUGGUAGUUGGAAUAUCAAAGAAAAUGGGAUUUUGGGUGCGUAGACCGCCAGCAUAGAAAAUGGGAAAUGGAAAGUGGAAUCUCUGUAGGAAAUGAGAUUUUGGAUUCGCUCCAUGGAAACCUCACAAACCCGAGUUUCUAAAAGACCGACCACAAGUAUCACAAAAUAAGAAUACCAGCAGCAAGACUUUCAAUCUCCAAAGAUGUCGACAGAAGCUGUUUCAUAUCAGUUUGUUAUCUUUUAUCUAAAACUCGUUGACUAGAUUUAAGAAAUCAGAUGCUAGUCCAAGAAUCUGUCAUACUUUUGGUCACAUUUUACCGAAAUGAAAUAAAAUGCUGAUCACUAACAUUAGAUACUGCGUUCUUGCACCUUGCAUUUGCAUUUUAUAGCACUAGAUAACACGCAUUUUUUGUAACAUGCCAUUACCAUGCUUUCUCAUAUUACCAAUUAUGGUAAUGCCAUUGUCAUGAUGUAUUAACUGCUUGAUAUCAGAACACAACCAUGAUCUCAUAUCCGUAUUAGUUUAUUUUACUUGUAUAUUAGUAUUAGUGCAGUGAAAUUUAACUCGUGUUGUAAAACAUAUUGUGGAAUAAACUAAUAAAAUGGUAUCUGACAUUUUGACAAACACUC